AAGAAACUAACCAACAGACUUUUUGGCGGAUCUUUCGAAGCUUGAACUCUUAUAGAGCUUCUCCUGAGUUCCCCACCAACCCACCCUCUCUAGAGGUAAAAUUUCAGAUUUCAUCUUUCGACUUCGACUUCGACUGUCUGAUUUCUUACUUGUUUUGCUGUUCGUGAUUUGAUUCAUUUCUUAUCAAAUUCUUUGCAUUCCAUUCUUUCACGUAUGGAUAUCUCAUUGCCACUGGAUCAAGUCCAGAGCAGCUACAGAUUUGCAUGUUCACUAACAAACCCCACUAUUUUCAGACGAAAAAUUUCAAUUUAUGAGAAUUUUUCACUGAAAAAGAAAAGGUUUGGAACUCCCUUUUCUCAGUUUAGGUGUUCUUUGCUAGACCGAGGGUUGAGACCCCGACCAACGCCUCAAACUUUGAGAAAGGAAGAAAAGAUUCUCAAGAAAGGUACAGAAGGCCAUGUAGAGGAAACCCAAUUGGAGAAAUCGGAUUUUAGUUCUGGAAUUUCUGGGCAGAUUGAGAAGUUGGUUUUGUGCAGAAGGUACGCCGAGGCUCUAGAGCUGUUUGAGAUUUUGGAAUGUGAGGGUGAUUUUGAUGUUAAGAGUGGUACUUAUGAUGCAUUGGUGAGUGCUUGUAUUGGGUUGAGAUCAAUUAGGGGAGUCAAGAGGGUGUUUAAUCAUAUGCUCAAUUCUGGGGUUGAUCUGGAUUUGUACAUGAUGAAUAGGGUAUUGUUGAUGCAUGUGAAAUGUGGGAUGAUGAUUGAUGCACGUCAGUUGUUUGAGGAUAUGCCAGAAAGAAAUUUGGUUUCUUGGAAUACAAUAAUUGGGGGGCUUGUGGACUCAGGAGACUAUUUAGAUGCGUUUAGAUUGUUUUUUAUUAUGUGGGAGGACAACUCAGAUGUUGGGUCUAGGACGUUCGCCACAAUGGUAAGAGCAUCAGCUGGCUUGGAACUUAUUUUCCCCGGACAGCAGUUGCACUCUUGUGCUUUGAAGAUGGGUUUGAGUCAUGAUGUCUUCGUGUCAUGUACCUUGAUUGACAUGUAUAGCAAGUGUGGUAAAAUUGAGGAUGCAAGGUUUGUUUUUGAUAAGAUGCCUGAAAAAACCACUGUAGGAUGGAACAGUAUUAUUGCUGGUUAUGCACUUCAUGGUUAUAGUGAAGAAGCGUUGAGCAUGUACUAUGAAAUGCAAGAUUCUGGUGUCAAAAUGGACCAUUUCACAUAUUCAAUAAUUGUACGAGUCUGUACCAGGCUAGCCUCAUUAGAUCAUGCAAAACAAGCUCAUGCUGGUUUGGUUCGAAAUGGUUUUGGGUCCGAUAUAGUUGCUAACACAGCACUUGUUGACUUUUAUAGCAAAUGGGGAAGGAUAGAAGAUGCCCGAAAUGUUUUCGACAGGAUGCCACAAAAAAAUGUUGUCUCUUGGAAUGCCUUAAUAUCUGGAUAUGGCAAUCAUGGUCGUGGAGCUGAGGCAGUUGAAUUAUUUGAGCGCAUGGUUCGUCAAGGAAUGAUUCCCAAUCAUGUCACCUUUUUGGCAGUUUUAUCUGCUUGUUGUUAUUCAGGAUUAUCUGAUCGUGGAUGGGAAAUAUUUGAAUCAAUGAGCAGAGACUACAAGGUGAAGCCUCGGGCAAUGCACUAUACAUGCAUGGUUGAACUAUUAGGCCGAGAAGGGCUCCUGGAUGAAGCUUUUGCAUUGAUAAGAGAUGCUCCAUUUAAGCCUACCAUAAAUAUGUGGGCUGCCUUGCUAACAGCUUGUAGGGUCCACAAGAAUUUUGUACUUGGUAAAUAUGCAGCAGAGAAACUUUAUGGGAUGGGACCCGAGAAACUAUCUAAUUAUGUUGUGCUAUUGAAUAUCUACAACAGUGCUGGAAAAUUCGAAGAAGCAGCAGCAGUCCUCCAAACUCUGAGGAGGAAAGGUCUGAGAAUGUUACCUGCUUGUACUUGGAUAGAAAUAAAGAAGCAGCAGCAUGCUUUCUUCACUGGAGAUAAAUCAAAUCCUCAAACCAAGGAAAUCUAUGAUAAUUUGGAUGAAGUCAUGCUGCAAAUCUCAAAACAUGGGUAUGUUCCUCAUGGAAAAUAUCUGCUUCCUGAUGUGGAUGAACGGGAAGAAUCCAUGCUACUUCAUCAUAGUGAAAAGUUAGCUAUUUCCUUUGGGCUCAUAAAUACUCCUAGUUUAACUCCUCUACAACUUGUCCAGAGUCAUAGGAUUUGUAAUGAUUGCCACAACGCAAUCAAACUAAUCUCCAUGGUUUGCAGACGAGAAAUUGUUUUCAGGGAUGCUAGUAGAUUUCACCGUUUCAAAGAAGGCAGUUGUUCUUGUGGUGAUUACUGGUGACUUACAUUGUAUUACAUUCUUAAGAAUGGAUCCUCUGCCAGUUGAAACUGAUUCGGUAAUUUUACCUCAAUCCCCAACAGCCAACCUGAAAGGAAAAGGACAAGGCACUUCUGAUUUGAUGUCUAAUGGCAUCUAAUGAUUAAAACGGAUGAAUUCACUUUCUUCAAAGUUGCAACUGGACAUGUUUCAGUUGUACAUCCAGGCUUGCUCAUGUGAAUAUCGGGAGGAAGAGGGAACUGCAGUAUGAACUUUUCUUGUCACAGCCUGAAGCAAUGAAUACUUUGUAGAGCUUAAGCAACAGCUUGGUUUUCGAUACCAUCAAAAUUUUGGAAUCCUUCAUAGAUCCGAGGUCAAAUAAUUGUUUCAACUGCUCUGAGUUCCUUCUCUUCAACCACAAAGUCUUGAUAGCAGGAAGAUUGAAGAGAAUCGGAAGCAUCUGAGCCAUCAUGCACUGUGUAUCAGAUUAAAUUCAUUCACCCAAUAUUCUGAAAGGAAGUUUUUGCAAAAAUAUCUGGCUUUCAGAUUUUACACCACUAUUUAUGCCAUCCAUACGCUUACUUCCACUUACAGACAGGCCCAUGCAGAGAAACUUCUGUUAUCAUCUCUUUUGGCUAAUUUGAUUGCUGUAAUAUGAAUUUGUUAUAAUAUCAUAUAUUGUUCCAUGUCCAAGAUCAUAGAACCUAUGAGCUGACUUUAACAUUCAUCGUGUAUGUCCAAUUGCAUUUUUCUAUACAUGCCCAGUGUUAAUCUCUUGAUUAAAUACUGCUA